UUUAGAUUAUAAUAGCUUUGAAACAAUGAUAAUGAAAGUUUUUUCAUCGUUCUAAAUUUAUACUACAGUUAUGGUCGUAAAAGAUUAAGAAAAAGCUUAUGGGUGCAAUUAUUCCACUGACACCUGCGAAAAAUACCAAAAGAACUGACCAUCGCUGUUUAUUGUAUUUUUUUAAAUGUUUUAGUUAAACAAUCUAACACUUAA
rnacentral:lncRNA from 1 species